GACGAACGCUGGCGGCGUGCUUAACACAUGCAACUCGAACGGUGAAGCGCCUUCCUUUUUGGUGGGUGUGGAUGAGUGGCGAACGGGUGAGUAACACGUGAGUAACCUGCCCCCUUCUUCUGGAUAACCGCAUGAAAGUGUGGCUAAUACGGGAUAUUCUGGGUCUGUCGCAUGAUGGGUCUGGGAAAGAUAUUGUUUCGGUGGGGGAUGGGCUCGCGGCCUAUCAGCUUGUUGGUGGGGUGAUGGCCUACCAAGGCGGUGGCGGGUAGCCGGCCUGAGAGGGUGGACGGUCACACUGGGACUGAGACACGGCCCGGACUCCUACGGGAGGCAGCAGUGGGGAAUAUUGCACAAUGGGCGCAAGCCUGAUGCAGCGACGCCGCGUGAGGGAUGGAGGCCUUCGGGUUGUGAACCUCUUUCGCCAGUGAAGCAGGCCUGCCUCGUUUGUGGGUGGGUUGACGGUAGCUGGAUAAGAAGCGCCGGCUAACUACGUG
rnacentral:rRNA from 1 species